ACUUAGCCUUUACACUAUGUUGGAGAGAAGACGCUUGCUACCUAUGCAUAAUGUGAAAUAAGGUAUAAACAUCGUGGUUGUAAAACUUGAGGUGGGUUUUUAGUACGUAGGCGUGACUACUUUGUAGUCAUAAAUCGUGCAUGCUUCGAGUAGCAGUCAGAAAGCAACUGAGUAGAUAGGGACAGUAGGAAUCUCGUUAAUC
rfam:Drosophila persimilis strain MSH-3 cont1.013591, whole genome shotgun sequence.